rnacentral:tRNA from 1 species
GUGUGCACAGCUCAGUGGUUAGAGCAUCCCUCCGGAUUGAGGUGGCCAUGGGUUCCAAUCCCAUUGCACACA